rnacentral:rRNA from 1 species
CCUACGGGAGGCAGCAGUAGGGAAUAUUGGGCAAUGGAGGCAACUCUGACCCAGCCAUGCCGCGUGAACGAAGAAGGCGCUAUGCGUCGUAAAGUUCUUUUAGAGGGGGCGAAAACACUUGAUUCAUCAAGUACUGACGGUACCUUCGGAAUAAGCACCGGCUAACUCUGUGCCAGCAGCCGCGGUAAUACAGAGGGUGCAAGCGUUAUCCGGAAUCACUGGGUUUAAAGGGUGCGUAGGCGGGAUUAUAAGUCAGAGGUGAAAUCUCGUCGCUUAACGACGGAAUUGCCUUUGAUACUGUUUUUACUUGAAAUUUGUUGAGGUUGGCGGAAUGAGACAUGUAGCGGUGAAAUGCUUAGAUAUGUCUUAGAACACCGAUUGCGAAGGCAGCUGACUGGACAAUAUUUGACGCUGAGGCACGAAAGCGUGGGGAUCAAACAGGAUUAGAUACCCUGGUAGUCCACGCCCUAAACGAUGUUUACUUGCUGUUUGUCUUUCGGGAUGNGUGNGAGNGAGNGAUAGUAACACGNGGAGUACGCCGCGAGGUAGAACGACGAAGAGAGUAGCGNGNGAGAGCGACGACGACGACGACGGAGGAGGAGG